UACAGAGGUCUCAAGCGUUGUUCGGAUUCAUUGGGCGUAAAGGGUGCGUAGGUGGCGCGCUAAGUCAGGUGUGAAAUUUCGGAGCUUAACUCCGAAACUGCAUUUGAUACUGGCGUGCUUAAGGACUGGAGAGGAGACUGGAAUUUACGGUGUAGCGGUGAAAUGCGUAGAUAUCUGGAGGAACACCGGUGGCGAAGGCGGGUCUCUGGGCCGAAACUGACGCUGAGGAGCGAAAGCGUGGGGAGCGAUCCGG
rnacentral:rRNA from 1 species